rnacentral:misc_RNA from 1 species
GAUGAAGAACGUAGUGAAACGCGAUAUUUCUUGUGAAUUGCAGAAGUGAAUCAUCAGUUUUUGAACGCACAUUGCACUUUGGGGUAUCCCCCAAAGUAUACUUGUUUGAGCGUUGUUUCUCUCUUGGAAUUGCUUUGCUCUUCUAAAAUUUCGAAUCAAAUUCGUUUGAAAAACAACACUAUUCAACCUCAGAUCAAGUAGGAUUACCCGCUGAACUUAAGCAUAUCAAUAAGCGGAGGA